rnacentral:lncRNA from 1 species
AUAUACUCAGUUUGCCAACGGGACCAGAAUAGAUCGGCUAGAUACUGAACAAGUCUCCUCUGGCUACGCAUCGCAUCCUUUGUUCCGAAUUCGACUUGUCCAAGAGAUCCACACGACAACGCAUAUUUCUGAGUUAAUAGAAGAGACAGCCAAAGAACUGACGGGUUUUCGGGGUCGCUAGAAACUGGAACCAAUGGCCUCGAAUUGACCAUAGCACAAACUCCGCGCAUUAGUGUAGAA